GGACUGCUGAUGGUUCUCCUGGAGAUCGUCCUUUUAACAUAAGAGGACCUUCAGUGGUUUUUAAGGAAGGGUUUCGGAGUCGAAAUUACUGCUUGGUGGAGUGUUCAGAUAUUUGUAAUUUGAUUGGCGAUGGAGAAGAUGGAACUUGAAUUGUAAAUGACUCUCUUACAGCAACCUGAAAGGAUUUUCCAUUCAUUC